UGAUGAUGAUGAUGAUGGUGAUGGUGAUGAUGAUGAUGAGGAUGAUGAUGAUGAUGAUGAUCAUCAUCAUCAUUAUUCUCACCACCAUCAUUACCC
rnacentral:pre_miRNA from 1 species